GCGGAGGGCGCCGCACCGUCAGGGAGUCGCGAGGGGAGGCGCAAAUGUUGCGGAGCUGCACGCCGCCUCUCCGUAUAUUAAGCAGCCGCUCGCACGCUCGCCCUCAGUCCGUUUGCACUCCGGUGCGCGCUGUGGAUGACGACAACUUCAACUCCCACCUUCACGCUCCUCCUUGGUGCAUUUGUGAUUUCCGACAGGAUCUUCUCUACUGGAUUACCUUUUUUAUUAUUAUUAUUAUUCCAAAGAGAACUUUUAGAAAAGCCUUUUUCUAAAACAGUCAGGAUUCGUGUGUGUGUGACGGACAAGUGCACCGCGCGUCUGGCUUGACUUGGGCUCGUCCCACUUUUUGAGGAGCUAUGCCGAGCUGCGUCGCUCAGCUUGUCGCGCAGGAGUGACACACGCGCACACACACACACGCAAAACCAAAAACCAAAAGCCAAUCCAAUCAAUCACACUUUCUUCCACGCAAAUCUCGACCGGAGCAGCAGCAUUCUCUCCCCCCCCCCCGCCGUGAGGGGAUGGUCGAGGGUCCUCGGGGGCCAGGAGCGACUGCGCGGCUCCUCCACGACCGCUUCGUCUCGUUUGGGGUUCAGUCCAAAUUCAAAAGGAGAUGAGAGCCGCAAUUUACUACUUCCUGCUGUGGACGACGUACCUGCUGCUGGCCACCGCUCAGGAAGUGCACUUUCCCCAGGAGCUGAUCGACAGAUUGUCCCGCAGUGAAAUCCACAGCAUCAGCGACCUCCAGCGGCUGCUCGAAAUUGACUCCGUAGGUACGGGAAACGAUGUCAUCGAGGAGCCCAAGCAUCACAAGCACCACCACCACCACCAGCACCACCAGCAACACCAGCACAAGAAUUCCUCCCGCCAUCCGGGUUACUAUAGCGACCUGAAGAGCUCGCAGCUACACAGCCGCCGCAAGAGGAGCCUCGUGGAGGAGGCGGUCCCCGCGGCGUGCAAGACGCGGACGGUGAUCUACGAGAUCCCCAGGAGCCAGGUGGACCCCACGUCGGCCAACUUCCUGAUAUGGCCGCCCUGCGUGGAAGUCAAACGCUGCACGGGCUGCUGCAACACCAGCAACAUGCGCUGCCAGGCCUCGCGCAAGCACCACCGCACCGUUAAGGUGGCCAAGGUGGAGUACGUCAAAAGGAGGCCCAAGCUGAAAGAGGUCUUCGUACGGUUAGAAGACCACCUGGAGUGCGUGUGCACGUCGCAGCAUCACGUCGUGGAGCACGCCGACGCAGAAACAGGCCACCGUAGGGCAAAAGGUAAAAAAAGGAAAUCUAAAAAGCUAAGGGCCCGCAAGGAUUUAUUGGUGACGUAACACAAGUCGCACCCAUUGCCCCGCCCACGCGCCCACCCCCCUCCAAGUCUCCCUCUCAAUGGAAAGCUGUGAAGGGAACAGUGGACGUGAGGUGAGGACGUCAGCCUGGGCUCAUCGUCGCUACACAAAAGAACUUUUCCUAAUUAAGACUGACGAACUUAAGAAACAAUGAUGCCAAAGGUGCUUUUUUUUUAAUGAUUAUUUUUUUGCUUAAAAAACAAAACAAAUAAAAGACUACCCAGGGAUGAUGAGGAGCGAGCGACGCAAAGGGAGACGAAGAAAGGGAUUUUCGUGUUUGGGACACUACGGCGGUGUUUGAACAAAGCGGCGGAGGACCUCCCGCAGGCCAACUCAAGUGCCCCGCCCCUCUUUUAAACGGACGCGGGACGAAAGACGCCGACCGUGUACAGAGCCGGACGCUCUUUACGAACGAUUUAUACACGUGGACGCUCCGGAGGACUCGUCCAAUUUUCGCUAUCGUCAUCCUAUUAUUAUUGACAGUGUAUCGUCGAGUCUUGUGUACGCUUUGGAUUAACGACGGGAGGAGACGCGGGGAAAAGCCAAGUAGCAGGAAGAUGCUUUAUUUUUGUUAUGAAAUAUAUUACGCUUACUUUUCAUUGGUUAUUGAAUGUCUGUAUUUAAUCCAUUUUCGGGCGAGAAAAGAAAAAGAAAAAUGCUCCUUUAGGUGCGAAAAUUAGGCGGACGCUAUCGGGAUUGUACGCGGACACGAGCUGUUUUUCAGCCGUAUCACUGUAAUGCUGAUAAGGAGGAUGCCCACCCAGUCUGCUGUAACACACACACACACACACACACACACACACACAGAGAGAGCAAAGUUCACCUUAAAGAGUGAAUGAAUAAGCAGAGCAUGAAUGAGCUCCUUGUUCGGGGCCCGGCUUUGCUCUCCACGCAAUCCCCUCACACACAUCACAAACACGCAUCACAAUGGCACGGAACAAACUGUUAUUUUUGUGCAAGCGGUGUCAAAGCAAGCGAGUCGCCGUCCAAACGCGACGCUAUCAGCUGAGACGACGCAAAGUCCCGCCGUCGUCGAGGGUGCUUUUAUUUAUACGCCACCACGUGUCUCGCCACUGUUUUUUUUUUUGUUGUUUUUUUUAUUUUGCAAUCCAAUAACAAACAACAACAAAAAUCAAUUCAUAAUGUCAUUUUUUUUUUUUUUUUUUUACAAAAAGAAAACAAAACAAAACCUUUCUUUAUUGGAUAAAGACAGCAAUAAUCAUAAUUUAUCUAUUUAUGUUGAACAAUAAAUGUAUUUCUGAAUGAAGUGUU